rfam:Clostridium sp. CAG:762 genomic scaffold, scf93
UAAUCUGGGUAAACGCUGCAAAAUUAUUUUGUAGAGGAAAGUCCACGCUCGCACUACCUGAGAUGGUAGUAGUGUUUGUGCUUAGGGAAAAAAUAACCUAAGGUAGAUUUAUCUAACGGCAGUUUUAUUUUCUAAAAGGUAACUCAUGAAAAUAAAACUCUAAGGUGCCACAGAAACGAGUUUAUUUGGAAACAAGUAAAAUGAAACGAGGUAAACCCCACAAGCGAGAAAUCCAAAUUUUGGUAGGAGAAUUACUACUGAGGAAUAAAACUUAAGUAGUGAAUGUGAAAGCAUAGAUAAAUGUUUACCGCCUAGUAAUAGGUACAGAACGUGGCUUAUAAGA